rnacentral:rRNA from 1 species
AUGCAGUCGAACGGAGCUUAGAGAGCUUGCUUUUUAAGCUUAGUGGCGAACGGGUGAGUAACGCGUGAGUAACCUGCCCUAGAGUGGGGGACAACAGUUGGAAACGACUGCUAAUACCGCAUAAGCCCACGGUGCCGCAUGACACUGAGGGAAAAGGAUUUAUUCGCUUUAGGAUGGACUCGCGUCCAAUUAGCUAGUUGGUGAGGUAACGGCCCACCAAGGCGACGAUUGGUAGCCGGACUGAGAGGUUGAACGGCCACAUUGGGACUGAGACACGGCCCAGACUCCUACGGGAGGCAGCAGUGGGGGAUAUUGCACAAUGGGGGAAACCCUGAUGCAGCGACGCCGCGUGGAGGAAGAAGGUUUUCGGAUUGUAAACUCCUGUCGUUAGGGACGAUAAUGACGGUACCUAACAAGAAAGCACCGGCUAACUACGUGCCAGCAGCCGCGGUAAAACGUAGGGUGCAAGCGUUGUCCGGAAUUACUGGGUGUAAAGGGAGCGCAGGCGGGAAGACAAGUUGGAAGUGAAAACCAUGGGCUCAACCCAUGAAUUGCUUUCAAAACUGUUUUUCUUGAGUAGUGCAGAGGUAGAUGGAAUUCCCGGUGUAGCGGUGGAAUGCGUAGAUAUCGGGAGGAACACCAGUGGCGAAGGCGGUCUACUGGGCACCAACUGACGCUGAGGCUCGAAAGCAUGGGUAGCAAACAGGAUUAGAUACCCUGGUAGUCCAUGCCGUAAACGAUGAUUACUAGGUGUUGGGGGAUUGACCCCCUCAGUGCCGCAGUUAACACAAUAAGUAAUCCACCUGGGGAGUACGACCGCAAGGUUGAAACUCAAAGGAAUUGACGGGGGCCCGCACAAGCAGUGGAGUAUGUGGUUUAAUUCGAAGCAACGCGAAGAACCUUACCAGGUCUU